rnacentral:rRNA from 1 species
UGGGGAAUUUUGGACAAUGGGGGAAACCCUGAUCCAGCCAUCCCGCGUGUGCGAUGAAGGCCUUCGGGUUGUAAAGCACUUUUGGCAGGAAAGAAACGUCAUGGGUUAAUACCCCGUGAAACUGACGGUACCUGCAGAAUAAGCACCGGCUAACUACGUGCCAGCAGCCGCGGUAAUACGUAGGGUGCAAGCGUUAAUCGGAAUUACUGGGCGUAAAGCGUGCGCAGGCGGUUCGGAAAGAAAGAUGUGAAAUCCCAGAGCUCAACUUUGGAACUGCCUUUUUAACUACCGGGCUAGAGUGUGUCAGAGGGAGGUGGAAUUCCGCGUGUAGCAGUGAAAUGCGUCGAUAUGCGGAGGAACACCGAUGGCGAAGGCAGCCUCCUGGGAUAACACUGACGCUCAUGCACGAAAGCGUGGGGAGCAAACAGG